rnacentral:rRNA from 1 species
GAUGAACGCUGGCGGCGUGCCUAACACAUGCAAGUCGAACGGCAGGACGCUAAGCUUGUGUUCUUGCUGUUAGCGGCGGGCGGGUGAGUAACGCGUGGAUCAUCUACUUCUAUUUCUGGGAUAAUUUCGGAAAACCGGAUAUAAUACUACAGCAUAUGUUGAACCGCAUGGUGCAGAGGAGAAUGUCGGUCUUGCUGUCUCUUCUAGCUGAUUCCGCGCUGGAUUAGCUGGUGGGUAAGGUAACGGCCUACCAAGGCGACGAUGCGUAGCCGAUCUGAGAGGGUGAUCGGCCACACUGGAACUGAGACACGGUCCAGACUCCUACGGGAGGCAGCAGUAGGGAAUCUUGGGCAAUGGGCGAAAGCCUGACGCAGCCAUGCCGCGUGGGUGAAGAAGGCCUUCGGGUCGUAAAGCCCUGUUAUUGGGGAAGAACAGCUGUGGAAUGAAACGUGGCCAUCGUGACGGUACCCAAUCAAAAAGCACCGGCUAACUACGUG